rnacentral:lncRNA from 1 species
GGCUUCUGCAAAUGCCAGCCACAGAGACUUAUUUCCCUCCUGGAAACUGAGACAAGGCCUGAAGAAGGAGCCCCAGAACCCAAACAAGCUGGAGUUGAGCAAAGACGCUCUCGGGAACCGGGGCAGCGAGAGAGCCGAGCGCGGGCAGGUGCUGCAGUCACGUGUGUGCGGGUGGCUCCAUCUGCCGUGGGCCCAUCUGCUCCUCUGCAGAGUGAGGUCCUGUGGCUCCGACAUGCAGAUGCCGGCACCGUCCCACUGGGGAUGGGGUCGUUCUUAGGGGCUGCGUGGAUCGGGCCUGCCGAGCAUCCAACCCCAGGAGAUGGAAGGUGCUGUCCCCUCUGAGCUGCUGGGGCUCAAGACAGUGCAUCAGUGGGAGGGGUCCUGCUGCCGUGUGGCCCCAGCUCCAUGCCCACAGCCCAGGUGCAUGCUGGGCCCCUUCCCUGUCCCUUGGCUCUGCUUCCCCUCCUCUGGUUUAGUCUGCCGCGGGCUGCUGUCACCAGGUACCACCGACCUGGGCUUCAGCAGGCACAUACGGCUCCCGUCAUGGAAGCCCCAGGUUGGGGUGUGGGCAGGUGGCCUCUCCCCUCAGCUUGAAGAAUGCCGUGGCCCUUAUCCCUGUGGCUGCCCUCUGGGAGCCCAUCCCCUGUGUCCUGAUCUCCUCUUCCAGUGAGGACAGCAGGCAGACUGGAUCAGGGCCACCCUAAUGACCCCAAUUUACUUUUAUCACCUCUCUAAGGCCCUGUCUCCAAAUGCAGUUAAAUUCUGGGGUACUGGGGGUUAGGACCUCAACAUGUAAAUUGGGAGAGAUGCAAUUCACCCUGUAAGAGCCUGGGUCAGUUUCUGCAAUAACUCGCCUUCACAACAGGGGACCCCACCGUGAGAUAGGACCCCUGUAGCUGCUGGCUUCUAAGAAAGGAGGGACAUUCCUUAGAGCCAAGUGCAGGCCAGCGAGGCUGCCCAGAGGCAGCCCCGGGGGUGUCUGUAUGCUGCCGUUGCGGGCAGUCCACAGGGACAUCCAAGAGGGGACAGGAGACCCAGAGCCAGGUGCUAUGCAUUCUUUUGAGAAUUUAAAAAUGUGGCUUUGUUCAGAAACUGCCCUGGUGUAUCCUUUUGUUCACGGAAAGUGUAAGAUUUUCUCCAAAUAAUCACUGGGAUGACAGAACAAAGCAAACCACCUGCCCCUCGAUGUUGGACAGCCACAUCUUGGAAUUCUUGAUGACUCAGGAAGAAAGGAAGAUUGAGCCACAGGAACAGAAGCAAACACGUUUCCUCACACCGGUGCUGCUGGGGAGCUGCCCCCACAGGGCUGGACCCUCCGCCACUUCCAGGCUGGACCAAUGUGGUCGGGAGCUGGGGCGGGUGGUGGCACCCGGCCCAAAGCCAACUCCACGUGUGACAAUAAAUGGUGUAAUUAACCUCUCAGCUUCUCCCAUCUGUGCAGCAGAGCUUGGAACGCUUGCCACCGGGAGGCUGGGAAGAUGGAUGCGUCUGGUUCUGAAAAGCAUCCAUGCCAGACGUCAAAGCCUCAGCGCUGUGCUGAGCCUGACUGAAAGGUGCUGGUCUCCAGAGCAGCCUCCGACACUGGGGCCACCCAAAC